rnacentral:rRNA from 1 species
CCUACGGGUGGCAGCAGUGAGGAAUAUUGGUCAAUGGGCGCGAGCCUGAACCAGCCAAGUCGCGUGAGGGAAGACGGUCCUAUUGAUUGUAAACCUCUUUUGUCGGGGAGCAAAAGCCGCCACGCGUGGCGUUCCGAGACUACCCGAAGAAAAAGCAUCGGCUAACUCCUUGCCAGCAGCCGCGGUAAUACGGAGGAUGCGAGCGUUCUCCGGAUUUCUUGGGUUUAAAGGGUGCGCAGGCGGAAGAUCAAGUCAGCGGUAAAAUUGAGAGGCUCAACCUCGUCGAGCCGUUGAAACUGGUUGUCUUGAGUGAGCGAGAAGUAUGCGGAAUGCGUGGUGUAGCGGUGAAAUGCAUAGAGAGCACGCAGAACUCCGAUUGCGAAGGCAGCAUACCGGCGCUCAACUGACGCUCAUGCACGAAAGUGUGGGUAUCGAACAGGAUUAGAUACCCUUGUAGUC